CAGGAACUUAUUUGGAUGUCUCUCUGCAUGGAGGUUGGAGUCCCCAAACUUCCAAUUCCUCUCUCCUCUCCUUUGCAUCUCUUGCAUACCCUUCUCUCGUCUUUCCUUUGUCUUAACUUUUAAAGGGCCAGACUCUCUGUACGUCAUCAGUUGAUAACCCAAUAGAAGCACUAGAGGUGUGGUUAUCUUCCAGAUCGCAAAUUAGUUAUUUGGUCUGUAGAGGGCAGUCUUGUCCCACUAAACAUACCUAUCCAGGAAAGAGUUAACUUUUCCUGGUGGCUAUUUUGACGUCAUUUUG